rnacentral:misc_RNA from 1 species
GAAAUGCGAUAAGUAGUGUGAAUUGCAGAAUUCAGUGAAUCAUCGAAUCUUUGAACGCACAUUGCGCCCUUUGGUAUUCCUUAGGGCAUGCCUGUUCGAGCGUCAUUUAAACCUUCAAGCCCUGCUUGGUGUUGGGUGCCUGUCCCGCCCCCGCGCGUGGACUCACCUCAAAUCCAUUGGCGGCCCCCGCAUGGCCACGAGCGCAGCAGAAACGCAAACUCGUGUGCCGGACCGGUCGGCUCCCAGAAGCUACACUCACCAUUUUGACCUCGGAUCAGGUAGGGAUACCCGCUGAACUUAAGC